rnacentral:misc_RNA from 1 species
GAUGAAGAACGUAGCGAAAUGCGAUAAGUAGUGUGUAUUGCAGAAUUCAGUGAAUCAUCGAAUCUUUGAACGCACAUUGCGCCCCUUGGUAUUCCAUGGGGCAUGCCUGUUCGAGCGUCAUUUGUACCUUCAAGCUUUGCUUGGUGUUGGGUGUUUGUCUCGCCUUUGCGUGUAGACUCGCCUUAAAAUAAUUGGCAGCCGGCGUAUUGAUUUCGGAGCGCAGUACAUCUCGCGCUUUGCACUCAUAACGACAGCGUCCAAAAGUACAUUUUACACUCUUGACCUCGGAUCAGGUAGGGAUACCCGCUGAACUUAAGCAUAUCAAUAAGCGGAGGA